rnacentral:rRNA from 1 species
GAUGAACGCUGGCGGCGUGCCUAAUACAUGCAAGUCGAGCGAACGGACGAGAAGCUUGCUUCUCUGAUGUUAGCGGCGGACGGGUGAGUAACACGUGGAUAACCUACCUAUAAGACUGGGAUAACUUCGGGAAACCGGAGCUAAUACCGGAUAAUAUUUUGAACCGCAUGGUUCAAAAGUGAAAGACGGUCUUGCUGUCACUUAUAGAUGGAUCCGCGCUGCAUUAGCUAGUUGGUAAGGUAACGGCUUACCAAGGCAACGAUGCAUAGCCGACCUGAGAGGGUGAUCGGCCACACUGGAACUGAGACACGGUCAAGACUCCUACGGGAGGCAGCAGUAGGGAAUCUUCCGCGAAGGGCGAAAGCCUGACGGAGCAACGCCGAGUGGGUGAUGGAGGCUUUCGGAUCGGAAAACUCUGUUAUUAGGGAAGAACAUAUGUGUAAGUAACUGUGCACAUCUUGACGGUACCUAAUCAAGAAGCCACGGCUAACUACGUG